UUAAAAAUUAUUUCAAACUGCUGUUAAAAUUCAGGAUUAUGUUUUUUAAAACAUUAAAGAAACAACACUGUUAAAGGUAAUACAUUGCUGCAUACAAAAUUUGUGAAUACUUGGGUAUGUGAAUUUUGUAAAUGUUCAUGGAAAAUGUCUGAAAAUCUUGAAAAUCUACCAGGCUUAUACCAAUAAGCUUAAGUUCCUUCUCUUAGCAGAGCACUGAAACCAAUGCUCAUGUAAUCCUCGCAGGCUCUCCCCAGUAAGAUUUAUGCCUCACUGAAGCAAAAAACAACUUUAUGGUUUCCCACAGAGAAAGCUAUUGGAACUUUUCUCAAACACUACAACAUAUAGAGCAGAAUUCAGUAAAAGCUAAUGGUUUGGACUGACCAAAGGUUUAGUUUUAGAAAUAAAAAAAAUCUCAGUAUAGGACAAGCAGUCUCAUGGCUGGACCUAUUGCUAUAACCAGUUAAUCUCCUAUGUUGAAAUCUGAGCAUUUAACUGAAGGGCAUAAAACAGCACCUGUGACUUGAGACCGCUGGACUGGCUUAAUGGGUUCUUCCCCUGAUGGGAAGGUCUAGCAUGUUUGUCUAUACUCAUGGGAGGGGCAGGAGUGAAACAGUGGCAAUUCUCACUGGUAUCUCAUAAAUUUAUAUUGAAUUGCUCAGACUGCUUUGAAAAUGCUCCAUGCCAUAAAUCACAGAUCAUUCUAGUAUCACUAGAAUCUAUGAUUAUAAACAAAGAGCUUUUGGAAUUCUGGAAUUUAAACAUUCUGAAUAGUUUCUUUGUCUUGACGGAAAGUAAAAAGAACAAACUUGUUUUAUAUAAAAUCAGAUGCUCCAAAUGGUCAGUUGAUGAUUAUACCAAUCAAAGAAAACUAAGGAGGAAGAAAAAGAAAACAGGAAAGAGAGGAGGCAACAGGAAAAUCGGCCUUCUUCCUUCAGUCUACGCUUGAAAUUGCCAGGGAUGGAUAAAUCUGAAGAUGAAUGAAAAAAAGAAACUACUGGGAAUGGAACAGAAACAAAAAAAAAGGAUGGGAAAUCUGAAGCUGCUAUUUCUUAUUCUGAUCUUAAUAGCAGGAUACAGUUGAAUAAUAACAUUAUCUAUUGGAGAUCACUGAAAUGUAGGGAGGGAAUUCCAUUUUGAAAACUUUAAUAUGUAGAGAGUCAGUACAUCAUUUUUACAAGCAAUAUCCUUAGCAGAAAGGAUUUUUUUAGAACUAUCAUGCUACAGAAAACUGCAUUUUUAUAGUAACUGAAAGAUGCAAAGUUACUGAAAAAAUAAAACUGCCAUUUUAUUGUAUUGCCAUUAA